rnacentral:tRNA from 1 species
AGCUUUAUAGUCAUAAAUUUUGAUAUAAAAUUGCAAAUUUUAAGGGGUAUAAUUAUACUAAGGCUU